GCUAGUGUAGCUUAAUUGAAAGUAUGGCACUGAAGAUGCUAAGAUUGAAAAAUAAAAAUUUCCACGGGCA
rnacentral:tRNA from 2 species